CAAAAACAUUUCCUCUUAGUUAAAGAGGUAAGGCCUGCUCACUGAUGAAUUUUAAAGAGCCGCAGUAUCCUAACUGUGCUAAGGUAGCAUAAUCAUUAGUCUUUUAAUUGAAGACUGGUAUGAAUGGCUAAACGAGAAAUUAACUUUUUUUGUUGUAAAAAUCGAAUUUAAUUUUUUAGUGAAAAAGCUAAAAUUUUUCAGAAAGACGAGAAGACCCUAUAGAGUUUUAUAAUUUUAUGUAAUAAAUUUUAUUUGAUUUUUAUAAAUUAAUUAUAAAGAAGAUUAUUUUGUUGGGGCGACAUUUAGAUAAAAAAAACUCUUUAUUUUAUAAAUUUUUAUGAAAAAAGUAUUGAUCCUUUAAAAAAGAUCAAAAGAAAAAAUUACCUUAGGGAUAACAGCGUAAUCUUUUUUGAGAGUUCUAAUCGACAAAAAGGUUUGCGACCUCGAUGUUGGACUAAAAUUUAGGCAGGGUGCAGAAGUUCUGCUUUAAGGUCUGUUCGACCUAUAAUA
rnacentral:rRNA from 1 species